GGUUGGACUAGGUGAUCUUGUAGGUCUUUUCCAACCCAGCUAAUUCUAUGAUUCUAUGAUUCUAUGAUAAAGCCCCUAGUGCAGAGAGCUGCUGGACUAGGAUCCUAGAUGUGGCCUUAUCAUAAAGAAUACUUUAAAAAUAACAGUAAUAGUAACGAAUAUACACAGGGAUGGGGAUAGAGAGCAGUGGUAUAAUUCUGAUUACUGAUACUUUAUUCAGUCUUUUUUCCCUUUGCUCUUCUUUUAGUUCUCUAUUUUCUCUUCUUCCUUUCACUCAUUGAAGCUGUGUUAGAGAAAGCAUUCCUUUCCAUGGAAUUCAGUGGGCUUUGGAUCAAACCCUACAAUACAUCUGUAGUUCAUUACAUUUUAAACAGACCUCACAAUCUUUGUGCCAUAUAUUUAUUGUUCACAUGAAGCAAUGAAAAAAUUUGGAAUUAGACCAAGCAAUGAAAGAAGGGUUAAUACUCUACCCUUGUCAGAAAUCACAUGCCAGCUCAGCUGCUUCAUCUUUUAGAAAGGAAAGUUCUUCUAAGCAGUUUUUCACUGCUGCUACAUAGCCACGUUAACUGAAACAAUAAAUUACUUGCUCUUAGAGAGAAUUGUGACCACAGAAACACAGUGAAUUCUUUACUUUCUUAGUAAGCUGCCACUGAAAAACAUAUUUAAUAGAAUUUGAUGUAACUGAUUUUUUGGUGCUAUUUUUAGUAAUGUACAGAUUCUAUACAAUGUCUUGCUUUUAGGAAAGUUUAUUUUUUGAACAGUGAUCACCAUAUUACUAUUAUUACUAAUCCAGGCAAAGGAAACUCAUGGCUCACCAUCCCUUGCCCCUGAGUUGCCCCCCUCACCAUGCUGGAAGCAUUAAGUGAGUUAAAAUUGAUGGCUCAAAACCCAUUCAACCUUCAGCACAGAACAGAGUUGUCUUCUGACUUAGCCUAAUAAGUAACUACAAAGAAACAAAGAAGGGAGAAGAAUGACUCAAAAUUAGUUUCUCUGCAGCAAACACUCAAUGAUUGUUAAGAACCUAUGCCAAGACUAUCGAUCUGAAGAUAAAGUAGGCAUGAAGAAACAAUAUGCACUUCAGCGUGGCAAACACUAAGGUUACAAAACUGAAUCAAAGUACCUUACCCAUGUUUACAAGAGAUAGUCUAGUCCAGCCUUCGAACCAUGAGUCCGAAAGAGACCUGAUGCAGAAGUGGAUAAUUAGUCCCUCAGCUGGUGCUUUGGCUCAAGAAAUUUAAUCAGUGAUUGAAUCAAACCAAUAAAACAAGUAAAAUUUUUAUUUUUCCACAGAAUUGAUCAGUACUAAAAUACUGCAGCCACCUUCAGACACUAAUAUUGUCCAAGUCUCAGAGAAACAAAGUGCCCACAGGUGUGACGUAUGGGAUGUUCCUAUAGGUCUGCCAAAGAAAUCUCCCUGGUGGGGGUCAGGGACAGCUCCAGCUCAGCAGUUCUCAAGCUAGGAUUGUAGUUCAAUAUUUGGGACUUUGAUACCCCCUUCUGCUUUCUCUCCUGCUUUCUUUUCUUACCAGCUUUGUUAUCAAAGACCUUCACCCUGUAAAGCUUGUUGCCUUCAACUUGGAGUUCAGAAGAAAUGCAUCAAGCCCCCACAAACCCCAAGGGAACGGGAUUAAUUCUUUUCUCAUUACAACUGUGACAGUACUGCUGUUGUCUCCUGAUCAGGUCACACUGGUAAAAAGCUGAUUUCAGCACUAGCUGGAGAAGGAUUAAGACUAGAUGCUCCCCAGCGAUAGUGCUAGGAUUCUCUAGGAUGUUACUGGAAAAACAAAAACAUGAAACAGAAAAUGCCCUACAAAAGUGCACUGCAGGCAAGUGGUCUAAGCAGGGGAACACACAACUGUGGCAAAUGAUUCUUGUGUCUGCAACAAUUCCUCCUAACUGCAUGUGCGCAUCUGUUGUGCUGUCCCUCUCCUUAUGUUUGCCACUAAGUAGAUUUUCUCUGCAAAACCUGUGGGCCAAAUUCUUAAGAACACCUCAGGGUCCUUACAAUGACAGACAGGAUUGUGUAUGUGUGCAUAUUUUAGCUCAUCAGCUUUGGUUUUUGAGUAAAAUUGUGACACCUUUGCAUAAGAAUCAGUGGAAAUUUGCCUGAAUAAGAGCAAUAGCACCAACAGAUUUCUCAGGUUUCUGACCAGUAGCUGCCCUACAUUCAGAAACUUUAAUAUUUGUUAAUCCUGUCAAAAAUACAAAUAUGGUGUGUUGGGGCUUACGCCUAUAAGCCAGCAGCCAUGCCUCCUGCUUCCACAGCUCAGCUUUUCAAUUGUUAAUGUGCAUGGAAGACAAAAAAAACCAGCUAAGCACUUAUCUUGAACACACUGGAGGUGUUUGAGUUUGGGUUGGAUGGGACCCUGGGCAGCCUGGUCUGGUGGGUUGCAGCCUUGCUCAUGGCAGGGGAGUUGGAACUGGAUGGUCUUCAAGGUCCUUUCCAACGUGAGCCAUUCCGUGAUUCUAUAAACUCUAGUCUUAUGUCGGCUACUGAUUUUCUGAAGAGCAUCUUCUCACCUUAAAAUGCAGUCCAAUUUAAUAGGAGACUGCACAGUGGAGUAUCAUGCACAGGAGUAUUUAAAGUAAAUAACAGCUGAUGGUUUUGUAAAGUCAAGUUGUGUAUUGCAAUUUGAUCAAGAACAUACUACAUGAAAACACUGAGUCAUGAUUAAGAAUGUUUCUGCAAAUACGCUCUUGUUUAGUCACAGGUUGCUUGGCCUCAAUGCAGGAAUUACCAGGUUAAAUGGUACAACUUAAGCAGAUCAGAGCAGCUGAUCAUAACAGUCCCUGCCGGGCUUAAUAUCCCCGAAUUAACCCACUGAAGGGAAUACAUGUAGUGAGAUGGCUCAUACAAUCACUGGUUCUAGCUCCUGCCCCCUGUUUUCAAAACAUUCCUGAAGCAACUCCUGAGCCACAGCAGUUCACAGCCUGUAUUCCAUCCCUGACCGAAUGAACAGUUUGAGCUUUCAGUUUCAAAUAUCUCUCAAAAGUACAUCACUCAGUGCUGGUUUAAGGCUGUGGUAAAACCUCCACACAGUACCACUGGCUGAAGCUACUGGGGCUGCUCCUUUUGUCCCAUCCAGCUGGCACCACAAAUCAGCUGACUGCAUUUAGGAAUUUACUGAAUGCCUGUAAUUCACUAGGCUGUCAUCUCUGGAGGAAGCAUUGUUGAAGAAGAAUGACAUAGUCCUUCCUUUUUAAUUUACUGUCCCAAUAAAAUUCAUCAUCAACCUCUAGCUCCUAGAAAACUCUGCAGAGGAAAGCAAACUCUAAAGAUGGUCUGUUCUCACUGGAAAUUGAGCAAAAAUGAGUUAUUGCACAGGCCUCGAUGCAAACGCAAAUGACCCUGGAGCAGCAAUCAAACUUUAAAAGUUCAUGAUUCACAGAGAACAUCAACACAAGCACUUGGACAAUACAAAAAAAUCCAAUCCAGCAUUUGCUUAGAGUUUGGAACCCAUUAAAAUCCAGCUCCCAAGGAAGUUUAUGAAAUGGAGGCCAUGAUCUUGCACACGAUGCCCUUCAUAUGUCAGGGUAUACCUUUCCUCGGCACACACUGGUGACACCUCCACCACCACUGCACUUGCAAGGAAUCAGAUAGAAACACAAAAGAUCACAGAGUCCUAGGCUGAUGGGCAGAGCCAAGAAUGAAUGCCAGGAUGGUUGGUGUUAAACCCUCCCAUCCAUGAAGCUAGGAGUACAAAAGCAGAUCUGGGGUCAGACAUAUGCAGAAGUCAAUAACACCAUCCUUACUCUGCCACUAAUUUGCUAUGGUUAGGCCACUUAUAUUCUCCCUUAUUCCUAUAUGUAAAAAGAAGACAGUUCUAAUGACUGUUCUUCUUUCAGAAAUAUUGGAAAAUUUUAUGUGCUACUGUUUUCCCAAGACUGGAUAAAUGUACAGUACUUAGCAAACACUGAAUGUUAUCACCAGCGCUUGAUAAUGAAGGUAUCAGCGCUUACAGCAGAGGAGAGGACAAGAAAAAGCUUCUUUAUCAGAGACAGGACUAGGACUGAAACAGGUUCAAUCUUUACAAACCAAUUACCCUAUCACAACUGCACGUUCCAGCACUCGCCAGGAAGUCCAGACAUUGUGGAGUCACACAAGCUAUUUCUUGCUGUUUGUAAUCAAGAGAGCGACUCCCUCAUCUCAAAUAUGCCUGACCCCUGUUCUUACUUGUUCUUUGCAUACAACCUGCUAUUUCAUGCUUUAAAAUUGCUCUUUAUGCUGAAACAGUGAAUUAGUUCAAACGUCGUAUGGAGGAAAGACACACAGACUUGGUUGAUAAAUGCUAUGCUUCAGCCUACUCUGUGUUUCCACGACAGGUGAAUGGAUAAAAACUACCAAAAUGAUUAUAAAGUACAGGUAAGAAACUCAGGUAGUAUAAAACUAAUGUCAGUGGGCCUAAGAUGGCUUUUACUCCAAGGAUCUGGCCAAAGGCUAAGAGGAAGCUUGCCAAACAUAGCUUUUCCCCAGCAAUUGUGUAUCUUUCAGAAGCCAGCCUAGUCCCAAGUAAUUUCCUCUAUUAAACCCAGCUCAACGGUUCCUUCCUUUUGCAGCAGCACUGAGAAAAUGCGCCCAACAGCAUAAUACACAUCUGUUAAAGCAAUUUAGCUGUUCAAGACUAUGAUUAGUAUUUCAGUUUUCACACUGUACUACCAAAGAUGCUUGAUACUCAUCUAUGAUUCGUAAGGAAACACAUUUUUCAAAGCCAUCUGAGCUGACACCUUUACCAAAGACCGAUUUCUGACUCACUGAAAUCAAGAUCCUGGUCAGCAAUAAAAAACACAGUGAAAAAUAGGCUUCAAAUAGUGAUGGAGCACACACAGAUCACUAGCACCCUGAAUUCACACCCUGGCAUGUAUCAGCAGUUACCUACAAGGAUAAGACUAUCUUAUACAUGUUCAUAUUUUUGCUCCUUGCUUUGAUUCCAUUGAGAUCAGAAUGUUCACUGGAGCAAACAUACAUUUGAUCAAAUAAACUUUUAUGAUGAGAUUACGCCCUGUACUGCAGUUUGCAAAACAGCGCUGCUAUGAGAGCAUGCAGUGCUCUGCCAUCAACUGCUAUUUAUCUGUUCAUCCAUUUCACCAGAUAACCUUUCCUCACACUGCUUGUACCUGUACUCUAGUUCAAGCUGACACUAAAUAACAUGGUUCAUCACUAUUAUUGCUCUGGCUGAAAUCUUGUAUUAGUUGGAGAAAGAUGCAUUUGAUAUUCUGGAGAUCUUUCCUUCCCUGCAAACGCAUCUGAUGUAUUUAUGCACUGCACGAUGAAAUAUAUCAUUUGUCCACCUCUGUUCGGGUUGGAUAUUAAGAAAAAAUUCUUCUCAUAAAGAGUAGUGAUGCAUUGGCACAGGCUGCCCAGGGUGGAGGUGGAGUCACUGUCCCAGAAGGUGUUCAAGAACCAUGUGGAGUGGCACUGAGGGACACGGUUAGUGGGUCUGGUGGGGGUGCGUUGACAGUUGGACAAGAUGAUCUUACUGGUCUUUUCCAACCUUAAUGAUUUUAUGAUUCUAAAUGCACACAUACACAUCCCUCUCUUACUGGUGCUCCUGUUGUAACAUACUGGUCCCAAGGUGGUAAGUGAUGGGAACUGUCAUGAGAAAGCACCUGAAAGUGGACAGAACUAGGCACCAGUGCUCAUCCUCUGCCAGCUCAUGCUUAUUACUUGGGUUGUGGUCACUAAGGAGCCUAGCGGAAUGUUUUUCUAAUUACUCACUUCACUGUAGCAUUUAAUUUCAUUAAGUUUAUAGCUUUCUUAGAAAGCUAUAGUGCUAAACAUAGAUGAGAAAAUACAUAGUAUAUAAAGGAAAUGCAUGCUAUAGGAAACUUUCGGAGUAAUUUCUAGGUACCAUCUUUUUCUGAUUGCAAAUCAACACCCCUGUGUCAGCUUCUAUCAGUACCUGUGCUUGAUCUACACUUAUACCACGACUGGUCACCUUCUGCAAGAACAGCAGCAGUUAGAUUGCAGUGCAGACUCACCUGCUCCCAUCCAGAGCCCCCAGCCCACCAGCGACCUGCACCUCAGCUUAGGGAAUACCUGUGGAUGACCAAGGUGCCAGCAGUACUGGCGUCAUGAACAGCAGAGCCAGCAGCAUCUGCUCCAGUGACAGGAGCGGCAAGAAACCCAACAUCAGCAGCAACAACUGUAGGGUUGAUGACAACAGAACCUCCUACCUCUUGAAGUCAACCUUAUCUAACUAUGUCCUGGUUUCACCUGGGACAGAGGGUUUUUUUCCCUCCCCUUCACAGUGUCUGAUGUGAUGCUAUGUUUUGGCUUUGGGAGAAAAACAAUGCUGAUAACAUAUUGAUGUUUUAGUUAUUGCUGAGCAGCGAUGUACGGAGCCAGGACAUAUCAUUUCUACAGCUUCUUGCACUGUCCUGCUAGCGAGAGGGCUGAGACGGCCCAAGGAGCUGGGAAGGGGCAGAAACAGCACAGCUAACCUGAACUGGCCAAAGGGAUAUUCCAAACUGUAUGACAUUAUGUGAAAAAAAACUAUAAAACUAUAAAACUGAGGGAAGCUGGACAGGUAGGCGAUAAUAUAAUUAUUAUGAUGACGAUUACUAUAAUCCUUGUUUUCUGUUUUAGUAGAUAGUUAUUAUUUCAACUCAUGAGUUCUUUUUUGUUUUGUUUUUUUUUUUUAUUAUUCUCUCCCUGAGAGUUGGGGUGUGAGCGAAUGACUGUGUGGUACUGAGCUACCAUCUGGGUUAAGCCACAUCAAUUUAAAAAUAUGUAGGUUCAACAUUUGUACCAGCUGAUAAAACGUAAGCCCAACAAACUAACAUCAAGAUAUUGAUGUGCUCCCAUCUUUCCUACUACCUGCCACGUGAGAGUCAUUUACUUAAAAGCAGCUUUGGAACCGCAGCAUUUUAACCUCAAGUUCUUUGAGCCAUUUCCAAGCAACCUCCUCUCAGGAUCGGGUAUUCCAAGCGCUGCAGUGGUCAGAGCAGCCUAUGGAGAGGAGGUCUCCUGAGAUUCACCAACCAAGACAACAGAAGAUGACUGCACCCCUACUGAACUAUGGCAAAGCACCAGAAUUGCCUUUAAUCACCAGCUGGAACAAUGAAGAAAAGCCAGUUGUUCUUUUGGGCCAUGUUAUGCCACCAUUCGAAACAAAACAAAAUUAUAGCAUUAAAACUGAAUGUGAUAUUUACAAGGCUGUGGUAGAGAAAUCUAUGGAGAAGUGAAAAACCCAGCAGGAUUACAGAAAGGUGCUGUCCCCAAAAUAGCUUUCUGGAUGGGAAAUGUUCCUUAGUACAACUUGCUUUUAUUGCUAUUAUUAUUAUUUCAUGGUAUGUAAUAAAACUAAAAACCUCUCUCAGAGAUCUAAAACUACUGUCUCAACCACUGUGCAAAUAUAUUUUAAAAAGUAAGUAA